GCCGGGGUGGCCGAACCAGGUUAAGGCGCCAGAACAAUGGCGAACCUGCUAAGCUGGUGGGCUUUUGCCCUUGCGGGUUCAAAUCCCGCCCCCGGCG
rnacentral:tRNA from 1 species